rnacentral:misc_RNA from 1 species
CGCACAUUGCGCCCAUUAGUAUUCUAGUGGGCAUGCCUGUUCGAGCGUCAUUUCAACCCUUAAGCCCUGCUGCUUAGUGUUGGGGACCGCUAUGAAGCGCCCCCUAAAGAAAUUGGCGGAGUUGUCUAGGGCUCUCAGCGUAGUAAUUCUUCUCGCUUUUGAGCACUGGCGGCGCCUGCCACAAGCCUAUUUUCUCAAGGUUUGACCUCGGAUCAGGUAGGAAUACCCGCUGAACUUAA